rnacentral:rRNA from 1 species
CCUACGGGAGGCAGCAGUGGGGGAUAUUGCACAAUGGGGGGAACCCUGACCGAGCAACGCCGCGUGAAGGAAGAAGGAAUUCGUUCUGUAAACUUCUGUUAUAAAGGAAGAAAGACGGAUGGAGGAAAUGACAUCCGAGUGACGGUACUUUAUGAGAAAGCCACGGCUAACUACGUGCCAGCAGCCGCGGUAAUACGUAGGUGGCAAGCGUUAUCCGGAAUUAUUGGGCGUAAAGAGGGAGCAGGCGGCAGCAAAGGUCUGUGGUGAAAGACUGAAGCUUAACUUCAGUAAGCCAUAGAAACCGGGCAGCUAGAGUGCAGGAGAGGAUCGUGGAAUUCCAUGUGUAGCGGUGAAAUGCGUAGAUAUAUGGAGGAACACCAGUGGCGAAGGCGACGAUCUGGUCUGCAACUGACGCUGAGGCUCGAAAGCAUGGGUAGCGAACAGGAUUAGAUACCCCGGUAGUC